CGCAAGCAACAUGGGAACUUCUAGAGAAAACAAGAAGAAGACUUCAAAAAACAUGCUGUGAUGUCUCCCGGUGGAGACAGGGCACGAGGUGAGUGAAAAUUGCAAAGAACUGUUUUCUAAUAAGAACACAGGCAAACUGAGAGCUUAGCUUAAACCAGUGAUCAUUCUUGAAGCAGAAGUAUUAUAAAUUUCUUUGUAGAAUUUUAUAACCCUUCUUGGUUUGAUAACCGUCAAAUAAACAAAUUGUGAGAUUACUUAAUUAGCUAGCAGUAAGGGCAAAUAGCCACCUUCUAAACCAGCUGUGUUGCAUCAGACUUGAUUGCAUAUAUGA
rnacentral:lncRNA from 1 species